AGAUUGAACGCUGGCGGCAGGCCUAACACAUGCAAGUCGAGCGGCAGCACGGGUACUUGUACCUGGUGGCGAGCGGCGGACGGGUGAGUAAUGCCUAGGAAUCUGCCUGGUAGUGGGGGAUAACGCUCGGAAACGGACGCUAAUACCGCAUACGUCCUACGGGAGAAAGCAGGGGACCUUCGGGCCUUGCGCUAUCAGAUGAGCCUAGGUCGGAUUAGCUAGUUGGUGGGGUAAUGGCUCACCAAGGCGACGAUCCGUAACUGGUCUGAGAGGAUGAUCAGUCACACUGGAACUGAGACACGGUCCAGACUCCUACGGGAGCAGCAGUGGGAAUAUUGGACAAUGGGACGAAAGCCUGAUCCAGCCAUGCCGCGUGUGCGAAGAAGGUCUCGGAUUGUAAAGCACGUUAAGUGGAGGUAAGGCUAGUUACCUAAUACGUAUUACGUGUUUUAGACGUCUACCGACAGAAUAA
rnacentral:rRNA from 1 species